rnacentral:rRNA from 1 species
CCUACGGGUGGCAGCAGUAGGGAAUUUUCCACAAUGGACGAAAGUCUGAUGGAGCAACGCCGCGUGAGUGAAGACGGGUUUCUGCUCGUAAAGCUCUGUUGGUAGUGAAGAAAGAUAGAGGUAGUAACUGGCCUUUAGUUGACGGUAAGGACGUAGAAAGGCACGGCUAACUACGUGCCAGCAGCCGCGGUCAGACGUAGGUGGCAAGCGUUGUCCGGAUUUAUUGGGCGGAAAGCGAGUGCAGGCGGUUCAAUAAGUCUGCUGUGAAAGCCUUCGGCUCCACCGGAGAAUUGCAUCCGAAACUGUUGAACUUGAGUGCAGAAGAGGAGAGUGGACCUCCAUGUGUCGCGGUGAAAUGCUUAGAUAUCUGGAAGAACCCCAGUGGCGAUGGCGGCUCUCUGGUCUGCAACUGCCGCUGAGGCUCGAAAGCCUGGGUAGCGAACAGGAUUAGAUACCCUUGUAGUC